UACGGAGGAUGCAAGCGUUAUCCGGAAUGAUUGGGCGUCAAGCGUCCGCAGGUGGCUGUGUAAGUCUGCUGUCAAAGAGCAAAGCUCAACUUUGUAAAGGCAGUGGAAACUACACGGCUAGAGUGCGGUCGGGGCAGAGGGAAUUCCUGGUGUAGCGGUGAAAUGCGUAGAGAUCAGGAAGAACACCGGUGGCGAAGGCGCUCUGCUAGGCCGUAACUGACACUGAGGGACGAAAGCUAGGGGAGCGAAUGGG
rnacentral:rRNA from 1 species